rnacentral:rRNA from 1 species
UACAGAGGGUGCAAGCGUUAAUCGGAAUUACUGGGCGUAAAGCGUGCGUAGGUGGUUCUUUAAGUCAGGUGUGAAAUCCCUGGGCUCAACCUAGGAACUGCAUUUGAUACUGAAGAGCUAGAGUGUGGUAGAGGAUAGUGGAAUUCCCGGUGUAGCGGUGAAAUGCGUAGAUAUCUGGAGGAACACCGGUGGCGAAGGCGGCAUCCUGGACCGGCAUUGACGCUGAGGCGCGAAAGCCAGGGGAGCAAACGGG